rnacentral:rRNA from 1 species
UACGUAGGGGCUAGCGUUAUCCGGAAUUACUGGGCGUAAAGGGUGCGUAGGUGGUUUCUUAAGUCAGAGGUGAAAGGCUACGGCUCAACCGUAGUUAGCCUUUGAAACUGGGAAACUUGAGUGCAGGAGAGGAGAGUGGAAUUCCUAGUGUAGCGGUGAAAUGUGUAGAUAUUAGGAGGAACACCAGUUGCGAAGGCGGCUCUCUGGACUGUAACUGACACUGAGGCACGAAAGCGUGGGGAGCAAACAGGAUUAGAUACCCUGGUAGUCCCUGAG